rnacentral:SRP_RNA from 1 species
GCCGGUUGCAGUGACUCACGUCUAUAAUCCCAGCACUUUGGGAGGCCGAGGUGGGUGGAUCACCUGAGGUCAGGAGUUUGAGACCAGCCUGACCAACAUGGAGAAACCCCGUCUCUACUNNNNNNNNNNAGUAGAGACGGGGUUUCUCCAUGUUGGUCAGGCUGGUCUCAAACUCCUGACCUCAGGUGAUCCACCCACCUCGG